GCCAGGCAUGGUGGUGCAUGCCUAUAGUCCCAGCUACUCAGGAGGCUGAGAUGGGAGGAUCGCUUGAGCCCAGGAGCUCGAGGCUACAGUGAGCCGAGAUUGCGCCAUUGCAGUCCAGCCUGGGCAACAGAGCAAGACCCCAUCUCGA
rfam:Pan troglodytes isolate Yerkes chimp pedigree #C0471 (Clint) chromosome 11, whole genome shotgun sequence.